rnacentral:rRNA from 1 species
UAGGGAAUCUUCGGCAAUGGGGGGAACCCUGACCGAGCAACGCCGCGUGAGUGAAGAAGGUUUUCGGAUCGUAAAGCUCUGUUGUUAAGGAAGAACGAGUGUGAGAAUGGAAAGUUCAUGCUGUGACGGUACUUAACCAGAAAGGGACGGCUAACUACGUGCCAGCAGCCGCGGCAAUACGUAGGUCCCGAGCGUUGUCCGGAUUUAUUGGGCGUAAAGCGAGCGCAGGCGGUUAGAUAAGUCUGAAGUUAAAGGCAGUGGCUCAACCAUUGUAGGCUUUGGAAACUGUUUAACUUGAGUGCAGAAGGGGAGAGUGGAAUUCCAUGUGUAGCGGUGAAAUGCGUAGAUAUAUGGAGGAACACCGGUGGCGAAAGCGGCUCUCUGGUCUGUAACUGACGCUGAGGCUCGAAAGCGUGGGGAGCGAACAGG